rnacentral:rRNA from 1 species
AAUUUCAUCUAAAGCUAAAUAUUGGCCAGAGACCGAUAGCGCACAAGUAGAGUGAUCGAAAGAUGAAAAGCACUUUGAAAAGAGAGUUAAACAGUAUGUGAAAUUGUUGAAAGGGAAGCGCUUACAACCAGACUUGAGCGCGACGGUUCCCCCUUCCUUUUGGUUGGGCUACUCCGUCGUGUCCAGGCCAACAUCGGUUUUGGGGGUCGGUUAAAGGCGCCGGGAAUGUAUCUACCCUUCGGGCGUAGACUUAUAGCCCGGCGUGUCAUGCGACCUCCCGGGACCGAGGAACGCGCUUCGGCUCGGAUGUUGGCGUAAUGGUUGUCAGCG